UACGUAGGGUGCAAGCGUUGUCCGGAAUUAUUGGGCGUAAAGAGCUCGUAGGCGGUUUGUCGCGUCGAAUGUGAAAACCCGGGGCUCAACCUCGGGUCUGCAGUCGAUACGAGCAAACUAGAGUGUUGCAGGGGAGACUGGAAUUCCUGGUGUAGCGGUGAAAUGCGCAGAUAUCAGGAGGAACACCGGUGGCGAAGGCGGGUCUCUGGGCAACAACUGACGCUGAGGAGCGAAAGCGUGGGGAGCGAACAGG
rnacentral:rRNA from 1 species